ACAUGCCUACAGCUGCAUAGAUAAGAAAGGCUACACAGGAGACUUGCCCAGACAUGCUGUGAUGGAAAAUUCUGUCCCCUGACACACAGUAAGGGGAACAAAGCAGUAUGAACUAACUCAAGCUUAGGCCCCACAUGCGCACUAGGAGGAUAGGGGUGGAGCUACCAGAAAUCCACACCUUAUGCAAAUGAGAUGCCCAGCCCUCAUCUAUUUCUUAUAAAAGCCUCUGUAUUCAACUGUGAAACGCAGCUCUUCUUCUGGACCCCUCUCUGCAGCAGAGAGUGUUCUCUCUUUCGCUUAUUAAACUUUUGCUCCAACCUCACCCUUGGUGUCUACACUCCUUACGUUCAUCCAUCGUGAGACAAAGGACUUCCGGUGAUACUUUAGCCUAUGACAGACUGCUAUAUUGUGGGGCAUUGGUGAGACUGUAACAAAACCACAAAAGGGAGGGGCAGUCACAAGACUGGUUGAAAUCAAAACUGGAACAAGUCUUUCCAUACGGGCGGUUUCUGGUUAACCCUUAGGAAACAAAGCCUAAUGGUGGUUAGCCAGGGAGAGGGCCUAAUGAGGCCUGUCCGACCUCCUAGCCCAUAUGGCCAGGAAUUCAGUUUUUAAGGUUUUUCUGGGGUCGCAUUGGCUGAAAGGGAGUCCAUGAAGUUGGUUGGGGAAGCUUAGGAUUUUAUUUGUAUUUCUCACAAGACAGCAAUAGAACAUUAAACCCCACGUGGGGCCCUUCUAAGUGUGGCCUCUGUUUGCCUGCACACAUACGCACGAAGCUGGCUCUGUCAAGUGGAAUGUUAGCUUUAUAAAGAAAAAAGAACGGAGGAAAAUUUAGAAAAAAAUACAGCUUUCUGUCUAGCUCAUUUCAAUGAGCACAAUGAAUAUAAUUGGAAUUAAAAUUAAAUGGAAACACUGAAUGCUUAGCACCAGGCCUGCUAUGGCCGUGCUGCCCACUCUCCUUCUCCUCCAGGGCCAGGAAGGCUGUGCCUAUUGCACUUGCGGUUUUACUGACUUCACUGACUACAGAGCUCAAUCCUCUCUCCUCCCAGCUGCUCCAGAGCUCCUCCCCCGCCUUCCACAACGCUUGCUCAACUUUCAACUUCGGAGUGCCUGCUCUGCAUGGAGCCAUGACUAUCCCCAUUCUAAAGAUGAGAAAACAGGAGCUCAGAAAGCUCAGGCAUGAAGCUUAAGGCUGGGGAUGGAAGGAUGAACCAGUCACACCUGACUCCUGCUAUCCUGUACUUUAUAUCACAGCUCGAGACAGACGGCAGCAGCAAAUCCAAACCUUGCAGUCUGAUGGGAAAUACAGGAUGGGAGACCCAGCCAGAAAAAUUGAGAUCUGAAGGCAGAGGCAAAGAGUAAAUGCUAAUUACAUCUGAACUUGAGAAACAACAAUAAGCCAACUGCCAUGGGCCCGUAGGAGUAGGAGAAGAUAAUUCAAGCUCUUGGGAAUGACUUAGAGGUUAGCAAGAGUGUGCCUGCGUGCUUCCUUGCCCUUCCACCUUCUGCCAAGGGAUACUGUAACAAGAAGACCCUCACUGAAUGCUGAGUAGAUGUUGGUGCAUGCCUUUGGACUUUUCAGCCUCCAGAACUAUCCAUCAUCAAUGUGGUUUCUUUUCUCUGCACCAUAAAUAACAGCCGAGGAAGCGGAGCAUCUCCCACAAUGCAGUGGCAUCAAACUUUAACCAAUUUUGGAAUACAGUGUUAAGUCUUCUUGGGAUGGGAGCCAAGAGUACCUGCAUGCCCAUCAGUUACCUCAUGGCCUUCCUGGUUUUGGACAAAGACACUCCAAGCCUAAGCAUAGAGAAAUUUGCAUCUGAUUUCAACUGUACUUGCUAGAUGGAAGAUGGACUUCUGUAGGUUGUUAUAUACCCUGGUUCUUCUGGGUUGGCCCCAGUUUAUGUCCCUGGUGCCAGUUAAAUUAUAAAAGUGACCUCUUUUACUCUCAAAUGUGUCCUGGUUUGGAUGAUGACAUGUGGUCACUUUAGAUGUAUACUGAGAAACACAGGGCUUCAUAUGUCCUCUAGUGUUUUACCCAUUCCCUGUUGGAUGCUCAUUCUGUGUAUUGGAACCCCCCUUCCCAUCCAUCAGCCACUCAUUAUCCUCAGAAGACCUACUAUUAAAGGCAACAUUUAUAGGCUGGGAGAAAAGAAAAAGAGGAGAAAAAAACCCCACAAUUCGUUUUUACCAUGUGCAAGGUACUAUGCUAGAGGCUUUUCAAGAAAGUCAUGCUUUCAUUCUAAGAAAAAUUCCAUAAAGUACUAUUAUCAUUACUAUCAAUUUCAAGAUUCACAACUUUUCACCAGUGGAUAAGAUCAGUGAUUCUCAAAUGAAUCACCUCAAUCUCGUUAAAAUAAAGGUGGUGAUUUAAUAGGUUCAAGACAGAGCAUGGAAUUCUGCAUUGCUAACAAGCUCCUAGGUUUUAUCAAUGCUGCUGAUCCAUGGAUUAUUCUCCCAAUAGCAAAGCACUAAGGUAUCCCUGGAUCCCAGUCUAAUCCUGAGAUUCUAACAGAGGGAAUAUUUACUUCACAAAUAUGUAUUAUUUAUACCAAACCUUGUGUUACAUGCUGCGGCAGAGAAAACCAAUAAGUUUCUGCCACAGAGGGGUUAACAGGUAGCCCUCAUGGCUUGAGAGAAGCCCAAGGAAAUAUUCUAUGGAUACCACUUUUUUCUGAGUUGUGUUUAGAAGUCUAUUUAUUAGGAAUUUUUAUUUGUAUUGUUUUUGUUUUUUUAAAAAAACAUUUUUAUUGAAAAGGCAACUGGCUUUCCUAUGAGAAUGAAAGCCUGCUCAAGUCUGAGACUCAGGCAGUUUGGCAGGGAGAGAAGGGAAUUGAUAACACCUAGAAAUUUAGGGUAAUGUGAGCAAAACAUGAAGUCUGUGAUGAAGAGAAUUUGGUCCUGGGCACAAAGGACAACACAGAACCUAUAGCUGGGGAAAAAGAAAAUGAUAUUUAUAAUGACAGAGAAAGAGAGAGAUUAUGAAUGGAUGAUUGAUUAAUGAAGAGAUAGAUGAUAGAAGCAUGAUAUAUACAUGCAUACAUAGACAGACAAUCUCCUUGUUUCCCAAUGGAUUCAAUUAUGAAUGAGCAAGUUCAUUCUACAAAGUCAUGAACAUGUUUCAUGACAUAGCUAAAAUCUCUGCUAAUAACAAAUCCAAAGUUGUUCCAGUGCUUAUGGUGUAAGUCUGCUUACAUUUAUUAGUCUAUUCUAUAUAAGAAAACCAGGAAUCCACAUAUAUGCCUUGUUCCAAAUCACAGAGUAUGCAUCACUUAGUAGGGGGGAGGGGAAGGCCAUAAUAUAUUGCCAUACUUGCAUUCAUCUGAGUACCUACUACGUGCCAGGAACUGAAUUUAAUCAAAGUUUCCACACUGCCACUUUAGAUAUUAUAUACAUUAUCUUUUGAAGCCAAGUUCAAGAUGUUUUUCUCUACAUGGUUACAUUUAAUACUCACCAAAACCUGUUAUAUAGAAGUCAAGGUGGAAAGCCGUUUAUGUUGAUGUUGGUGAUGGUAAGUUUAGUGGUGAUGGUGGUGGUGGUACUGAUGAUGGUGGUAUAUAUCUUGAGAUAUAUCUUCUACUUAAGAAAAUUUUUAAGCAGACUCCAAAACAUGGAGAGACCAUAGAAAGUUGCAUCUUUGGUAAGUUCUUACCAAACUGGGACAAGAACUCAGAUGGCCAGACGAUAACUUCAGCUUCCUGUCCAUUCCACCAAGGAAUAACUAGAAUAUUAGGUAGCUUCUAUAGUUUUUAGUAGGCCGUGGUAAACGCAUGUGAGAAGAUGAGUAAAAACCUCAGAUUCUACAACAUAAUAUGGUUUCCUGACUAAGAAGAGAAAGAUGCUUUAAAAUGGCAACUUCUAAAGUUUUACUGAUUUUUCAAUUCUAGCUUGCAUUCUUUUCUCCUGGCAAGGCUGGCUGGAACAAGGAUCAGUCAUAAAGGAAAUGUUUCACUCUGCCUCACACAUGCACUUCUGUGCCAAAAUUAGUUUCUACCUUUACAGUUAAUACACAUAAAAAGAGACCAUUUAGAUAAAGCACUUCACAAAACUGUGGUUAGCUUAGGAAGUUAGAGGGUUAUAGCUGCCCCCAAGAAAGUGUCAUGCUUUUCAAACAGCUUCAAUCUCAUUGGCCUUGCAGCAUUCCACCUGGUCAUGCGCCAAUCCCACUCCACACUGCAGCCAGAGUGAGUCUUUCCAAAAUGUAAAUAUAAUUGCAUCUCUCUAUGACCCGGUAUUCUCAAUGGCUCCCCAUCAUCCACAGAAGAAUGCUCAUUCUGCCUAGCCAUGCAGACAAUACCUUUUAGGGUCUGGUCAUGGUUCACCAUUCUAGCUUUAGUUUUCUUCCCACCUUUUGGUCUUCUAUGAUGUGCUGGGGCAAAAGAAAGUCACAUGCAGCUGAAGUCCCCAUUAAAGACCACUCUCCCAGCCUAGGCAACAUAGUGAGACCCCCAUCUCUACAAAAAAAUAGAAAUUUCUUUAAAAAAAUAGCCAGGUGAGGGAUGGAUCCAAGAAGGCCAAUUAAGAGCAGCUCAGGAUUGCAACUCUAAGUGAAAGCACAGAGGGACAAAGAUAGCAGAAGAAACUGGUAGCUACCCUUACUGUUCUGCACCUGCUGCAGGUGAUCCCUAGGCAAGCAGGGCCUGGAGUGGACCUCAGCAGUCCUACAGCAGAGGGGCCUGUUAGAAGGAAAACUAAGAAACAAAGAAAUAACUUCAUCAUCAACAAACUGGAUGUCUACUCAGAGACCCAAUCUGAAAGUCAACAACUACAAAGAUGAAAGGUGGAUGAAUCCACAAAGAUGGGAAGAAACCAGUGCAAAAAGGGUGAAAACACCUUUAACCAGAAUGCCUCUCAUCCUACAAGGGAUCACAACUCCUCACCAGCAAGGGAACAAGACUGGAUGGAGAAUGAGUGUGAUAAAUUGACAGAAACAGCCUUUAAAAGGUGGGUAAUAAGAAACAUCUCUGAGCUAAAAGAACAUGUUCUAACCCAAUGCAAAGAAACUAAGAACAUUGAAAAAAGAUUUGAUGAAAUGCUAAUGAGAAUAAAGAACUCAGAGAGGAAUAUAAGUUAAUUGAUGGAACUGAAAAACACAACAUGAGAACUUUGGAAGCAUACACAAGUUUCAACAGUGGAAUUGACCAAGCAGAAGAAAGUAUAUCAAAGGUCAAAGAUCAACUCAAUGAAAUGAGAAGGCAAGAUUAGAGAAAAAAGGGUAAAAAGGAAUGAACAAAGUCUCCAAGAAAUAUGGGAUUAUGUGAAAAGACAUAAUCUAUGUUUGAUAGGUGUACUUGAAUGUGAUGGAGAGAAUGAAUCCAAGCUGGAAAAUACUUUUCAGAAUAUUAUCCAGGAAAACUUCCCUAACCUAGCAAGGCAGGCCAAUAUUCAAGUCCAUAAAUACAGAGAACACCACAAAGAUAUUCCUUAAGAAGGGCAACCCCAAGGCACAUAAUCAUCAGAUUCACCAGGGUAGAAAUGAAGGAGAAAAUGCUAAGGGCAGCCAGAGAGAAAGGUCGGGUUACACACAAAGGGAAGCCCAUCAGAUUCACAGCAGAUCUAUCAGCAGAAACCCUACAAGCCAGAAGAGAGUGGGGGCCAACAGUCAACAUUCUUAAAGAACUUUUAACCCAGAAUUUCAUAUCCAGCCAAACUAAGCUUCAUAAGUGAAGGAGAAAUAAAAUCCUUUAUGAACAAGCAAUUACUCAGAGAUUUCAUCACCACCAGGCCUGCUUUAUGAGAGCUCCUGAAAGAAACACUAAACAUAGAAAGGAAUAACCAGUACCAGCCAUUCCAAAAACAUACCAAAUGGCAAAGAGCAUCAACACAAUGAAGAAACUGCAUCAACUAAUGGGCAAAACAGCCAGCUAGCAUCAAAAUGGCAGGAUCAAAUUCACACAUAACAAUAUUAACCCUAAAUGUGAAAUGGCUAAACACCCCAAUCAAAAGACACAGACUGGCAAAUUGGAUGAAAAGCCAAAAUUCAUCGGUAUGCUGCAUCCAGGAAACUCAUCUCACGUGCAAAGAUACACAGAGGCUCAAAAUAAAGGGAUGGAGGAAGAUUUACCAAGCAAAUGGAGAGCAAAAAAGAGCAGUAGCUGCAAUUCUUGUCUCUGAUAAAAUACACAUUAAACUAACAAAGAUCAAAAGAGACAAAUAAGGACAUUACAUAAUGGUAAAAGGAUCAAUGCAACAAGAAGAGCUAAUGAUUCUAAAUAUAUAUGCACUCAAUACAGGAGCACCCACAUACGUAAAGCAAGUUCUUAAUGACUUACAAAGAGAUUUAGACUCAUACACGAUAAUAGUAGAAGACUUUAACACCCCAUUGUCAAUAUUAGACAGAUCAAUGAGACAGAAAAUUAACAAGGAUAUCUGUAACUUGAAGUCAGACCUGGGCCAAGCAAACCUAAUAGCCAUUUACAGAACUCUCCACCCAAAAUCCACAGAAUAUACAUUGUUCUCAUCACCACAUCACACCGACUCUAAAAUUGACCACAUACUUGGAAGGAAAUCAUUCCUCAGCAAAUGCAAAAGAAUGGAAAUCAUAACAAACAAUCUUUCAGACCAUAGUGCAAUCAAGUUAGAACUCAUAAUUGAGAAAGUAACUUAGAACUGCACAGCUUCAUGGAAACUGAACAACUGGUUCUUGAAUGUUGACUGGAUAAACAAUGAAAUGAAGGCAGAAAUAAAGAUGUUCUUUGAAACCAAUGAGAACGAAGACACAACAUACCAGAAUCUCUGGGACACAUUUAAAGCAGUGUCUAGUGGAAAAUAUACAGCAAUAAAUGCCCGCAUGAGGAGCAAGGAAAGAUCUAAAAUCGACACUCUGUCAUCAAAAUUGAAAGAGCUAGAGGAGCGAGACCAAAAAACUCAAAAGCUAGCAGAAGACAAGAAAUAACUAAGAUCAGAGCAGAACUGAAGGAGAUAGAGACACAAAAAACCCUUUAAAAAAAUCAAUAAAUCCAGGAGCUGGUUUUUUGAAAAGAUCAACAAAAUAAACAGACUACUAGCCAGAUUAAUAAAAAAGAAAAGAGAAUAAUCAAAUAGAUGCAAUAAGACUGAUAAAGGGGAUAUCACCACAGAUUCCACAGAAAUACAAGCCAUCAUUAGAGAUUAUUUCAAACAACUCUAUGCACAUAAGCCACUAAACCUGGAAGAAAUGGAUAAAUUCCUGGACACUUGCAUCCUUCCAAGACUAAACCAGGAAGAAAUUGAAACCCUGAAUAGACCGACAACAAGGUCUGAAGUUGAGGCAGCAAUUAAGAGCUUACCACCCAAAAAAAGCUCACGUCCAGAUGGGUUCACAGCCGAGUUCUACCAGACAUACAAAGAGGAGCUGAUACUAUUCCUUCUGAAACAAACAAUCCAAAAAGAGGGAAUCCUUCCCAAAUCAUUUUAUGAGACCAACAUCAUCCUGAUGCCAGAACCUGGCAGACACUCAGAACGAAAAGAAACCUUCAGGCCAAUGUCCAUGAUGAACAUAAAUGCAAAAAUCUUCAAUAAAAUACUGGCAAACCACUGCAACUGCACAUCAAAAAGCUUAUCCACUAUGAUCAAGUAGGAUUCAUCCCGGGAAUGCAAGUCUGGUUCAACAUACACAAGUCUAUAAACGUGAAUUCACUACAUAAGCAGAACCAAAGACAAAAACCACAUGAUUAUCUCAAUUGAUUCAGAGAAGGCCUUUGACAAAAUUCAACAGCGCUUUAUGCUAAAAAAAACUUCAACAAACUAUGUAUUGAUGGAACAUAGCUCAAAAUAAUAAAAGCUAUUUAUGACAAACCCAUAGCCAAUAUCAUACUGAAUGGGCAAAAACUGGAAGCAUUCCCUUUGAAAUCUGGCACUAGACAAGGAUGCUCUCUCUCACCACUCCUAUUCAAUAUAGUAUUGGAAGUUCUAGCCAGAGCAAUCAGGCAAGAAAAAGAAAGAAAGUGUAUUCAAAUAGGAAAGGAGGAAGUCAAAUUGUCUCUAUUUGCAGACAACAUGAUUGUAUAUUUACAAGACCCCAUCAUCUCAGCCCAAAAUCUCCUGAAACUGAUAAGCAACUUCAGCAAAGUCUCAGGAUACAAAAUCAAUGUGCAAAAAUCACAAGCCUUCCUCUACACCAAUAACAGACUUAAAGAAAGCCAAAUCAAGAAUGAACUGCCAUUCACAAUUGCUACAAAGAGAAUAAAAUACCUAGGAAUACAACUAACAACAAACGUAAAGGAACUCUUCAAGGAGAACUACAAACCGCUGCUCAACAAAAUAAGAGAGGAUAUAGGGGUCCAAAGUGGCUCCCACCGGAGGUCGUGGUACUUGCGAAGGCGAGGUCAUAAGUUCAAGGCUAACCUGAGCAGCCUUAUAAGCUCAAACUGAUUGUAUCCUUUUUUUUUUUUUUUUUUUGCCAAACAGAUGGAGAAACAUUCCAUGCUCAUGGUUAGGAAGAAUCAAUAUCGUGAAAAUGCCAUACUGCCCAAAGUAGUUUACAGAUUCAAUGCUAUCCACAUCAAGCUACCAGGGACUUUCUUCACAGAACUGGAGAAAACCACCUUAAAUUUCAUAUGGAACCAAGAGAGAGCCCGCAUAGCCAAGCAAAUUCUAAGCAAAAAGAACAAAGCUGAAUAAGAAUACUACAAGGCUACAGUAAUCAAAAUAGCAUGGUACUGGUACCAAAACAGAGAUAUAGACCAAUGGAACAGUACAGAGGCCAUGGAGGCAACACAACGCAUCUACAACCAUCUGAUCUUUGACAAACCUGACAAAAACAAGCAAUGGGGAAAGGAUUCCUUGUUUAAUAAAUGGUGUUGGGAAAACUGGCUAGCUAUGUGCAGAAAGCAGAAACUGGACCCCUUCCUGACACCUUACACUAAAAUUAACUCCAGAUGGAUUAAAGAUUUAAAUGUUAGAUCAAACAUCAUAAAAACCCUAGAAGAAAAUCUAGGCAAAACCACUCAGGACAUAGGCAUAUGCAAGGACUUUAUGACCAAAACACCAAAAGCAUUGGCAAUAAAAGCCAAAAUAGAUAAAUGGGACCAAUCAAACUCCACAGCUUUUGUACGGUAAAAAAAACAGUCAUUAGAGUGAAUCGGCAACCAACAGAAUGGGAAAAAAUAUUUGCAAUCUACCUGUCUGCCAACGUGCUAAUAUCCAGAAUUUACAAAGAACUAAAACAGAUUUGCAAGAAAAAAAUCAAAUAAGCCCAUUCAAAAGUGGGCAAAGGAUAUGAACAGACACUUUACAAAGAAGACGUAGAUGAGGCCAACAAACACAUGAGCAAAUGCUCAUCAUCUCUGGUCAUUAGAGAAAUGGAAAUCAAAACUACAUUGAGAUACCAUCUCACACCAGUUAGAAUGGCGAUUAUCUAAAAAAUCUGGAGACAACAGAUGCUGGAGAGGAUGUGGAGAAAUAGGAACACUUUUACACUGUUGGUGGGAGUGUAAAUUACUUCAAACAUUGUGGAAGACAGUGUGGCGAUUUCUCAAGGACCUACAAAUAGAAAUUCCAUUUGACCCAGCAAUCCCUUUACUGGAUAUAUAUCCAAAGGAUUAUAAAUCAUUCUACUAUAAGGACACAAGCACACGAAUAUUCAUUGCAGCACUGUUUACAAUAGCAAAUACCUGGAGCCAUCCCAAUUGCCCAUCAAUGAUAGACUAGACAGGGAAAAUGUGGCACAUAUACACCAUGGAAUACUAUGUGGCCAUAAAAAAUGAUGAGUUCAUGUCUUUUGUAGGGACAUGGAUGAACCUGGAAACCAUCAUUCUCAGCAAACUGACACAAGAACAGAAAAUCAGACACUCCAUGUUCUCACUCAUAGGAGGGUGUUGAACAAUGAACACAUGGACACAGGGAGGGGAGCAUCACACACUAGGGUCUGUUGGGGGGAAAUAGGGGAGGGACAGCGGGGGUCGGGUAUUGGGGGAGAUGCAUGGGGAGAAAUGCCAGAUAUAGGUGAUGGGGAGGAAGGCAGUAAAUCACACUGCCAUGUGUGUACCUAUGCAACCAUCUUGCAUGUUCUUCACAUGUACCCCAAAACUUAAAAUGCCAAAAAAAAAAAAAAAAAAAAAGAUAGCCAGGUGUAGUGGCACUUGCCUGUAAUCCCGAAUACUUGGCUGACUUUCUUUGGUACAGGAGUUUGAGGUUGCCGUGAUCUAUGAUCAUACCAUUGUAUUCCAGCCUAGCUGACGGAUCAAGACCCUGUCUUAUAAAAAAAACAAGAAAUUAAAAAAAGAAAAGACCUCUCUUGGGAAUACUUCUAGGCCUCCUAGGUCCCUUUGCAAGAAUGCUGCAUCUCCCUUCACUCUGCCUUCACCCCACAAACUGUUAGUCACCCUUUAGGACUCACCCUAUCCAAAAACACUUGCUAGACCAGCCUCAGAUGAAACGGGGAGUCACCUUUAUGCCAAAUUCCAUCAGAGUGUGCUAUAAAUUAUGAUUUUUUAUAAAAGCAAAAUCCAGUCAUCAUAAUCAAUCACCACCACCACUUCAAAGAAACAUUGAGGGCCUACUAAGUUCCAGCCACUGCUUAAUCACUGUAUUUGUAUUAUCACAUUUCAUAUCCAUGAUAGCUCUAUGAGCUCUGACAUUAAAGGAAUUAACACACAAAUAAAGGCACAAGGUAUCCAAGUAUAGCAGCACCUGGCACUUAGUAAGCAUGCAAUAAUUUGUUGCACAAUAAUUUGUAAGGCUAAAUUAGUAACUGUUUAGUCAUUUUAAAAAUGGUGGGGAGGGGCUUUAUUUUUAGAGUAGUUUCAAAUUCACAAAAAAGUUUAGAAUACAGGAAGUCCCCAAGUACCCUGCACCCAUUGUCCCCCAUUACUAUCCUGCAUUAGUAUCACAUCUUUGUAAUGAUUAAUGAAUCAUGAUUUAUAUAUUAUUAGUAACUAAAGUCCCUAAUUAAGUUUUUGUUUGAUACCCUUUUUCUGCUGCAGGAUCUAAUAUAGGAUAUCAAUUUACAUUUAUUGUGAUGUCUUCUUAGGCUCUUUUGGGAAGUGGAAAUUUGUCAGACUUUCCUUUCUUUUGACGAUCUUGACAGUUGUGGGGAGGAACAGUCAGGCAUUUUGCAUGAUCCACUAUAGUGAUUUGAUGUGUUUCUCAUUGUUAGAUUAGGGUUAUGGGUCUUGAGGGGAAGACCUGAAUGGUAAAGUACCAUUUUCAUCAAGUUAUAACCAUUGAUGUUGGCCUUGGACACCUGGCUGAGGUAGUUUCGUCAGGAUUUUCCACUGAAACAUACAUUUUUCCCUUUUCUCAUACCAUAGACCUUGGAAGACAGUGAUUUUCUCCCUCCUUGAGGGUAGAAAAUUUAUGUAGAUAAAUUAUGUGAAAUUCUUCCACACGAGAGAUUUGUAUCCUCUCCUCCAUUUAUUAACGCAUUCAAUCAUGUAUUUAGAUAAGUAUGAACUCACAGAUUUUUAUUUUACGUAUUGUGUUUUCAUUCAACACUAGUUAAUUUUAUUCCUCAAACUGUUCCAGCGUUGGUUCCUGGGAGCUCUUUCAAUUGGCUCCUGUACUCCUUUGACAUCACCCCAUCUAUGUGAGAUUUUCUUUUUUUUUUUAAUAUGAGCGACUCCUUACUUUCUGCUCCAGGCUCAUCUUGCAUAUUUCCUGUCCUGGUCCUAGAGUUAACCACGUCAACAAGUCCUCGUUCUUUUUAUUGGAGGAUGGUAUUAGAAACCAAGAUCUAGGAUCUAGUGCUAGUUUUACCCAUUUUUAGAGGGCUGUAUUUUUUAAGACAUGCUUGACUGAGCAAAACAAAAAAAAAUAUAUGUGUGUGUAUAUGUGUGUGUGUAGUAAUUACUGCAUGUAUACAUACUUAUAAAUAUUUCAACCUGCAAUUAUCUGUAUAUGUAUUAAAGUAAACAUGAGUUGCUGA